ensembl:lncRNA novel transcript
UAUGUUGAUGAAGCCUCCGGAUGGCAGGCUUCAGAGAGAAUAGAUGUGCAUGUCUCUUAUAGGCCCUUAAAAGGUGUCAGAGUCUCCAGAAAAAGCCUAAUAAGGGAAGCAGAUUCUCUGCAGAAUGCACAUUUCCCCCAUGAGAGACAGCUUUGCAAGGGCCAUUUCAACAUAUGUCAAGGAAAUAUAUUUUGAGGUAAAAUACUUUGAUUCCUUCGGGGCUACUAUGUGUCAUGUGAUGCUAUACCGGAGUCCCGUUGAAUUGGGUAUCUUAUUGCUACAGAGAGUCUGUUUUGUCAGUCUAGGAUCUCUGUUUUUAUUUUAAUGUUGGUCAGUUGUGUCUAAAUUCCAGAGCGGGGCAGGUAUAAUGGGGCAUCCCGAGCCCUCCUUCCCAUUCAUGGCCUGAACUGGUUUUUCAGGUUUCUUUGGGUCCCGGUGGCUGCAAGGGGAUGCACUCAGUUGGCUGGGGGACUUAGAAUUUUAGUUUUGGUUUACAGCAGGAUUUGAUGGGCAUGCAUAUUUAUCAAUGUGAAAGUGUUGUCUGUGGGCGGCGGAGGGCUUGGGCCGUGUCCAGGCCACGCACUGCAAGGGUGCAGCCCCCACACACGGUCCCUGCUCCUAAAGCUGUUGCCCCCACUGCAAGAGUGGAGUAGGUUGAGGUGUAGCCAUGACAUUCUGGAAACUACAUUUUUUGUAAUAGUCAUUUUGAAAAUAAAACAUUUGAAAAUACUGUGCAGCAAAAACUUGAAUAAUUGGAAUAAAAAUGUUCAGUUUAAUGUCAUUGCUUGCUGCCACCGUUUUCUGAUUGUAAAACUAACGUGAUUAUUAGGUACUAUUUUGGUAAUGUAGAAAACUUUAAAGAUGAAAAUAGAUAUCACUUAUAACUCCACAUGGAGAAAUAGUUGCCCCUCCAAUUUAAUUGAUUUACUUUUGGGCCACAGGGGCCCAGAAUUUGAUUCAUUGUACUCCUUGGUUCAUGCCAGUGUUCCUGCACCCAGCACUGAAGCUGAACAUUGACAGUGAUUUGCCCCUGCCCCAGAGUCCUCCCUGCAUUCCCCUCGAGGGCCCCCGUCUCCUGGCCCUGGUGUCCACUUUUCUCUCAGCUGCUGGGAACGUGUUAGUGUGCACUGUUCUCCUUUCCCUCACCUGCUGGCUUCAUGUUAGCAUGCACCGUUCUGCUCACUUUCUUCCCCUCACCUGCCGGGAUCAUCUUAGCAUGCACCAUUCUGCUCACUUUCUUCCUCUCACCUGCCAGGAUCAUGUAAGCGUGCACCGUUCUCCACACUUUCUUCCUCUCACCUGCCGGGAUCACGUUAGCAUGCACCAUUCUGCACACUUCCUUCCCCUCAUCUGCCAGGGUCAUCUUAGCAUGCACCAUUCUGCUCACUUCACCUUCUUCUUCUCGCCUGCUGGGAUCAUGUUAGUGUGCACUGUUCUGCACACUUUCUUCCUCUCCCCUGCUGGGAUCAUGUUAGUGUGCACCGUUCUGCACACUUUCUUCCUCUCACCUGCUGGGAUCAUCUUAGCAUGCACCAUUCUGCUCACUUUCUUCCUGUCACCUGCUGGGAUCAUGUUGGCGUGCACCAUUCUGCACACUUUCUUCCUCUCGCCUGCUGGGAUCAUGUUAGCGUGCACAGUUCUGCAUACUUGCUUCCCCUCACCUGCCAGGAACAGGUUAGUGUUCCCCAUUCUGCACACUUUCUUCCUCUCACCUGCCGGGAUCAUGUUAGCGUACACCAUUCUGCACACUUUCUUCCUCUGUGUACGUGUGUGUGGUUUUCCUUUCAGAAAUGGGUCAUACUCUGUGGACAUCUUUUUCCACUUAAAGUGAUGGCACAGCCAUUUUCCCAGUCAAGUAACAUGAAUGUACAAGUUUAGCAAACUUCCUCCUGAGAGAUGGAGAGAUCAAGGCUUCUGCUCCGUGGCAGCCAUCCGUGCACAUGCAUCACUGUGCGUGAGUUGGUCCCAGUGGCUUGCUGAGACAUGCUCUGCACAGGGGAGAUUUCUUAUACCAGCAGUGUGGGAGGCAGUGGGGCAGGUAGAGCCACAAGUGGGGAUGAGGGAGCAGAGUCUAGGGCAGGCUCCUGGAUGGACACCAGCUACACUGUCUAUUGGAUGUGGGACUUCCCUCACUGAUGAAAUGAAUAAGAGAAUCUUCCUCAUCCUGCUGUUGUUGGCGUUAAAACGGGUUAAUGCAUGAAAGCAACAAAGCCCGGCCUGCAGACAGCACAUGGUAAGUCUCCUCUUCCCAGCAUGUUCAACAGGAAGCCCUCAUUCCCUCUAGAAUGUAGGAGUCUUGCCAGCAGUGGCCUGUUUGUUCUCUGCCUGUUGCCGACCUGAUGAGAACAUAAAAUUGGUGUCUUCUGUAUAGAUUUCCUUCUUAUUGCCCCUACUGUGGCUGAACAUACCUUCCCCCGUGCUUGAAGUCUGUUCAUAUAUGUUCUGCUGUGAUAACUGCCCAUUCUUGUUCUCUAUCUAAGAAGGCAUUUAGUUUUGAAAAUAUUUUGUUGGCUUGUAAGAUAUUUGUACAUAUUAAGCACAGCAAACCUGUAACAUAUUCACUGUAAAUCAUUAUUCCUCAUGCAUCAUUUGCCAUUUAACUGUAUUUUUUUCCUUUUUGAUGUAACCUGCUAUAGUUUACAUUUUUAAAUCAGAAAUGCCUGCACAUUUUAAAACGAAGACUCUUAUGCUCUAGCCUUUGAGGUCAUGCUUGGAAAGUCCUUUCUCACACAAAGAUUAUUUACACUUUCAUCUCUUUUUCUCUGAGUACGUUUCAGUGUUUAAUUGACCAGGAAUGUAUUUCGAGGUGUGAUAUGAGACAAGGAUCUGAAAUGCUUUGCCCACUGAAUCAUCAUGCACUGACCGAAAUGCCACCUGUAUGAGUGCUAAAAUCAUUGUCGCUGGACCUGUGUCUGCACUGUUUAAUUUUAGUGUUGUUUCUCACAUCAGCUUCUGUUGUUUUCAUGGUUGUGGUUCUCAUACUUUUAAUAUCUGUUGGAGCAAAUAAAGCCUCGUUUCUCAUCUUUUCCAAAAAUGUCUUAUGUAUGUGAACUUUGGUGUUAUUUGUCAAGUCUGGGCAUUCUCCCACCCCCAUAUUAAAGAAUGCUCUCUGGAGUUUGUCUGGAGGUUUUGUUUAACUUUUAGAUUCACAUCAGGAGAAUCUUUGUCUUCAUGGUAAGUGGUCUUCCCAUCUAAGACUAUUUCUUCAAGCUGUUUGUAAUAAAAAGCUGUGUGAUUUUUGUAUGUUUA